rnacentral:rRNA from 1 species
AGUGAACGCUGGCGGUAGACCUAACACAUGCAAGUCGAACGGCAGCACAGUAAGAGCUUGCUCUUACGGGUGGCGAGUGGCGGACGGGUGAGGAAUACAUCGGAAUCUACUUUUUCGUGGGGGAUAACGUAGGGAAACUUACGCUAAUACCGCAUACGACCUACGGGUGAAAGCAGGGGAUCUUCGGACCUUGCGCGAUUGAAUGAGCCGAUGUCGGGUUAGCUAGUUGGCGGGGUAAAGGCCCACCAAGGCGACGAUCCGUAGCUGGUCUGAGAGGAUGAUCAGCCACACUGGAACUGAGACACGGACCAGACUCCUAAGGGAGGCAGCAGUGGGGAAUAUUGGACAAUGGGCGCAAGCCUGAUCCAGCCAUACCGCGUGGGUGAAGAAGGCCUUCGGGUUGUAAAGCCCUUUUGUUGGGAAAGAAAAGCAGCAGGUUAAUACCCCGCUGUUCUGACGGUACCCAAAGAAUAAGCACCGGCUAACUUCGUG